rnacentral:rRNA from 1 species
AUGAGGGAUAAGUAUGAGGCGCUGAGGAAUUAUGGACUGGAAGAAUCAGAGGCUACCAUCUUCCAGAGCGGCGCCAAGCUGGGGAGGCAGCUUGAGGAGAUAGAAGAUGUUACCAGGCGUUGGAAGGUGCUGGCUGAUUUCUGGUGCGAGAUGAUGCUCUACGUUGCCCCGUCAGAUAAUGUCAACGAGCACAUCGAGCAGCUCACGCGGGGCGGCGAGCUCAUCACCCACCUGUGGGCUUUGCUCUCCCACGCCGGCAUUCUAGAGAGGGGCCAAGAUCAACAGACUCCUCCUAGCCGCCACCCACAUGCAGAAAAUACCUGUGAGAGUCACCAAGAAAUUGAGCAAGAUUCAGCUAGUCAUGAAGGAACUACUCAUCAUUUGGGAACUACUUCCCCUGCUGAUCCUUUGGCGGCUGCUUCCCCUGCUCAUCAUUUGGCUGGCAAUCUGCAAAUGAGUGAUUUUGCCCUGCAAGCUCCUUCGCCAAGGUUGUUCUUCAAGCUGGCAGCCUGCCACUGA